UACGAAGGGGGCUAGCGUUGCUCGGAAUCACUGGGCGUAAAGCGCACGUAGGCGGAUUGCUAAGUCAGGGGUGAAAUCCUGGAGCUCAACUCCAGAACUGCCUUUGAUACUGGCGAUCUCGAGUCCGGGAGAGGUGAGUGGAACUGCGAGUGUAGAGGUGAAAUUCGUAGAUAUUCGCAAGAACACCAGUGGCGAAGGCGGCUCACUGGCCCGGUACUGACGCUGAGGUGCGAAAGCGUG
rnacentral:rRNA from 1 species